rnacentral:rRNA from 1 species
UAGUACGAGAGGACCGGGAUGGACUGACCUAUGGUGUACCAGUUGUUUCGCCAGAAGCAUAGCUGGGUAGCUAAGUCGGGAAGGGAUAAACGCUGAAAGCAUCUAAGUGUGAAGCCCACCUCAAGAUUAGAUUUCCCAUAGCGUAAGCUAGUAAGACCCCUUGAAGACUACAAGGUUGAUAGGUCAGAGGUGUAAGUAUGGUAACAUAUUUAGCUGACUGAUACUAAUAGGUCGAGGGCUUGACCAAU